AGUGCCCGGGCCAAUGGGGGGCCCAGAGAGGACUCAGCACCCGCCUCACCCUAACACCAGGCUGGCCUCUUCAGCUCAUAUAAGGUAAAAGGCAGAAGGGCCUCUGCGGCCAGGGAGUGUUGGGCAAGGGUCUAAGAGGAGGGGGACCCGGUGCCAGCGGUUUAAAAAUGCUUCUGUGGCAAUGAGGGCUACCAGAGGCCGGGUCAAGUUAGUUGAGAAGCAGUGACACCCCAACUGUCCCCCAAAUGGGCUGGCCCCCAUCUACGGACUGCAGGGAGCCAUUCCUGGACCAGACCUCCAGAAAGGUAAGGGCACCGGCCAGUGUGAGCCACCACUAGGAUCCUGACGUGGAGGAACAAGCACCGCAGGGAGAGGCCCCCUGAGGACCAGCGGGGCUGGCACCGGCACCGGGGCCUGGAGCAGAACACUUCUCAGUGCUUCCUGGCAGAAGGCAGAGGUUCCCAGGCGCUGCGAGUUCCCUCCAGAGGCUUCCCCCAGGCUGACUGGCCAUUCCCCAGGCUGACCUGCCAGGUAAGAAUCCCAGGCCACCCUCCACAGCCUCCUGUGACAGGAGGUAGGGAGCCACAGAGAGAGGGGCCGCAUCAGUUGGUGACAGGACCUGGGUCUCCUAAGUGACCCCCAUCUUCUGACUGGGAACCCAGAGGAAAGGAGCUUCUUAUGUGGUAAGAGGGUGAGAAGGGCUCCCAAUCCCAUUCUUACGGAGUCCCUCAGUUUCAAAAGACCAGGAGUCAGGGCCUGCCCUGUGAGAACACCAGACCAUAGAAAGUAUUCCCCUGGCCAGAGAGCCAGAAGGUCACCCCUCCUGUACCUCUGCCCCUCCUCUCAGCUGUGCAACCUCCUCCUCCAGGAAGCCCACCCAGCUCUGGAAACAGGAUCUCUUAAUCUAUGCCCUUGGCUUUUUUUUUUUUAAGUUUAUUUAUUUCUAUAAGAACUGGGGUAUAGGCCAGAUGUGUGGGAGGGUGAGAGGAUUCACCAGAGACAGAGCAGGGAACAGAACAGACAGACUAACGGAAAUACACUGCUGAGGAGAGCAGCAGGCCAGACAGGAGAGGUCUGCGCCAUGUGGGAUUCUCUCCGGCUGGCCAGGAUCGAACCCGCGCUGCAGAGGCUGCAUACAGCUUCACAGUGCUGUGCUCAACCACCUGUGCCACCAGGGAGGCCCCUCUUGUUGGUUUGCUCUUGUGCCACUUCGGUCUGCCCCCUAUUCACCUUGCUGGAAGUAUUUCCUUCCUCCUCAGCUGACUGUCUUCCCAGGGCAAGGGCCCUAUCACGGUCAGUUCUGUCUACCCUCAAUGUGCUGGCUUUGCUGAGUGGACAGAUGGAAUUAGACCCUGUCCCAAACAGAAAGGACUGGUAGAUUCGGCAGGGGAUGGACCUGUAGCAAAAAAGGUUAAAAUGAUGGUCGUAGUCGCUUGUUCUGAGUCAGGAAUUCCAUCUUGGCUCCUAACUCUAUGCUUGGAAGAUCCCCUUCUCACAGAACGCUUCAGGGAUGCAGGGGCAGGCACAGUUAAAGCACUCGAUAAAUGACCCUCCUUAGUACUUUCAGCAUCCUGCUGAUUUUUCUAGAUACAAAGGAACAGAACUAGGCACGGGGGGGGGGGGGGAUGGAGCAAAUGCCAUCCCCUAGCCGAAGGCCUCAACUCAGCCCCCUUCCUGGGUCAGCCGCUCCCACAGGAAGGGCCUGCCUCCCAUCGCUUCCAGUUUCUACACCUUGGCAGCAGUAUUUUAAGCCCAGAUAUAUUGGAAACUGGCCUCAGCUCCCCUGGCUGGAGCCAGACUGGGGCCCUGGGACAUCCCCUCCCUUCCCGUGGUGCAGUGGAAGAGAAGGGCGCCAGCACUGCCUGCCCUGGAGGGGCACCACUCCUCGUGGUGGAAGUGCCUGCACCAACUGCUCUGAAGUUUCAUUGGGUACAUUUUCCCCAGCUACAGUUACCCAGCUACCCCCUUUUUAUUUGUUUGCCCUGUCUUCAAGCAGUCACGCUACUUAGACAUUUAAGACGCUGUUUGUAAUGCUGCAAUAUAAAUAGCGACUGUCAGUGAAAAAUUGACACUGUCCAUAAUGAGAAGGAAAAGGUAACGUCAUUCCUCUCGACGCUGGUCCAGCGUGGGGUGUCAGAGUCAGGACCCCUCCAUGCUGGGUGGGGGGUUUUCCCCGAGGAACCAGAGGGGCCAAAAGCAAACUGACAGGCUGUCCUCCAUGUCCCUUGGUGCUAACUCUCUGCUCGCUCCUCGGAAGCCGAAGGCGGAGCGAUGAGGGGCUUCGCGGACAGCCACCGGGGCAGGCGCGGCCUUACAGCAAGCAUCACUUUUUCAGGACCACCCUCUCUGGCUUCGCAGUGGUUAGGCAACUGUUCCUCCCACAUGUUGGUGGCGGGGGUGCAGUGGUGAGGGAGCCGUCCAAAGGGAGUAGGCAGCUGGCAGGCUGUCCCGGGACCCUCAAGUGGUCCUGAUGCUGCAAUCUCUCUCCUGCCAAGUGCAGCGUGAAGAGUUCCUGCAAGCACGCCUGGGCGGAGGGAGGCAAUUAUUGGUUGGGGAUCCCUCAGGAAGGGGGCACUCCCCUCAGAGGCCGUAGAGACUGAUUUGACCCAAUGAGCAGACCAGUGGAAACCUCCCCCCACUGUUCCCACAAUUCAGAUUGGGCUGAUUUCCGGUUUCUGCUGGGGGACACUUGAUUUCUCAGGAUGUGUGUGUUUUCCCUGCUCUCCUCCUGCCCUGAGGAAUAGCUGCCCACCCCUCUUCACCCUCAGGCCCCCUUGAAAGGGAGGCCACCACAGUGAGCAUCCAGCAAAGAAAGAGGGUCCCCUGAGGCUUCCCUGAGAUCCAGGGGGAGCAAGAGGAGUGGAGGAGGACUCUGCUUGCCCACCAGAGGUGCCCACCCAAGCCAGGUUUCAGGAAGGAAGGCAUGAUCUCCGUGGCCCUUUGUUCAUCCACCAGUGGCCAACCUCAUGUGCAGAAGCCAGCAGCCAGGGUCUCAGCAAGACCCUGGAUCUCUGCCCUCCCCCCAAAAAAAAUUAAGGUGUAGGCGCUGUCCUUGGGAACCAGAGAUCUAGUCCAGUCAGCCCUGAUGCAAAUAGCUCCAACACCAGAGAGAGUAAGGCGAGGAGCGAUGCUGUCAUUUCAGCUGCUGAUUAUUGGGUGUCUGCACCACCUGGCCCUCAUUUCAGUGGUGAGUAUGGGGUUUUUUUCCUCAGGGGGGAAGUGAGUUGCUGACAAGUGAGGGUGGUCAUCAACAAAAACUAUAUCCUCAGCGUGGGAAGGGAUUAGCAAGAGGGCACAGGAUCCAUGAGGACCAAGCUGUCUGAGGAAAUCUAGGAGGGCUUUCCAGAGGUGGUGUUUAUUCGAGUAGCAACUAAGCCUAUGAAGAGGAGGCAGAAGGGGUGUAAGGUGAGGGAGCAGCAUGGCACCUGGAAAGACCUGAGGUGACAGGCAUAGGGACUCCCCAGAAGGGUGGAAGAACAGGGGGUGACUGCCGGGAAGAAAUGGCUGGUGCCAGAUGGGCCAGGCUGAGCAGCCUUUAGUGAGGGUUCCAGAAAUCAACCAGAGGGCAGUAGAGCCCUUUUGAAUUUUAAGCAGAAAAGACAUAUGAUCAUACUUGCAUUCUGAAAAGUCACUCUGGGAGAAGGGGGCAAAGAGGGGGUUAGUGGGUGUGACUAAGGAGACCAGGAGGGGGCCAAGGCAAAUGUUCAAUGAUAUAAAAUAUCAGGUCCCCUGAAAGUGCUGUUUGGCGGGUGCGCACCAAGCAUAAAGAUGGGGCAUGGGGUGACCCCAGAAGAUGAUUCCAUCUAUUGAAAAGUCUAGAUUAGGCAACUUUCUAGAGACAGAAAGUGGUCUAAGCCCAGGGCUGGGGCUGUUGGGGGACCGGGAGAGGUUGAAGGGUGGGCAGUUUCUUUUUGAAAAGAUGAAAUGUUCUAAAAUGGACUGAGGCUUCUCACUGGACUCGAAGCCAUUCUACUACACACUUCAAAUGGCUGCGCGCUGUCACAGUAAGCUGGGUUGUUUUUUUUAAAAAAAAAAAAAAGGGAAAGUUGAGGUUUGGCUGGCCCCAAGGAUGGGAAGCACGGCGGGGUAGUUGCAGGGGUCUCUGAGCUGGAGGGGAGCCCCUCUAACACCCUUCUCUGCCUAGGGUGGCGUCCCUGCGUGGCCGGCCGGAGCGCGGCGCCCUGUCUCCCAGCCUGAGGUGCAGUGCUGCAUCUCUGGUCAGCUGGGAGUCUGAGAUGAAGCACUGUAGCUCAGGAAGGGAGAAGACAUUCUGCGGCCGCAGGCAGCCUGGAAGCGGGAAGCAGCCGUGGUGCUUGAGGGCACCAGGAAGGACGGGGUGUUUCCAGUCUCCAGACCAUCAGCUGCUACUUCUAAGCAAGUUCCCAGACUUGAGUCCUACCCCUGCCACCAGGCACCCUGCCUCUGCUUUCUCCUUCUGAGCCCAUGGCGGGCACAGUAAUUCUAGGCGUAAAGUGUUCAGAUGCAGCUUCAGAAUCCUUCUCAACACUAAGUCCUGGAUAGCCACCGUUCAUGGUCGUGGUGUGUGGAUAGGACAAUUCCUAAAAUCCCUCUCAACCCUAAGGACAAAAGUCCUGGGCUUUGUUUUUUUUUAAAGAUUUGUUUAUUCAUGCAUACAAGAACCGGGGUACAGGCCAGAGGCGCGGGAGGGUGAGAGGAUUCACCAGAGACAGAGCGGGAAGCAGAACAGGCAGACUGAAAUACACUGCUGAGGGGAGCAGCGGGCGUGACAGGAGAGGUCUGCCGCGCCAUGUGGGUAGCUCCGAGGCCAGCCGGGAUUGAACCUGCACUGCAGAGGCUGCGGACAGCUUCACAGCAUUGCACUCAACCGCCUGCACCACCAGGGAGGCCCAGAAGUCCUGGGUUUUGAGUAGGGCUCUUGCUCUUUGGGCUCCUAACCUUGGUAAAUUCAUCCAGGCAUCUCACAAAUAUCUGGCCCCUCAGAGGCGUCAGAUAGGCAAGGAGCAGCAGAGGAGGAACAUAGGGCUAAGAACCACGUAAUUUACCUGCCACCAAGCUUGGGAGGUGGCCACUCUUAUUGACCCAUUUUACAGAUGGGAAAGAGGCUCAGAUAAUCAAGUCACCCAAGGACACACAUUGAUGGCAUUGACAUGGCAUAGUAACCUAAUCUGUCUGCUGCCAAUCCGUGUUCUUACCCACUGCACCUGAUUUUGGAAACUGGGGCUAGGGAGCAGGAGGAAAAUAUAAUAAAUCCUUCUCUGGUCUUGUCCUUACAUCUUGGGUCGCUUUUAGCCAAGACAGGCCCAGACACUUUCCUUUAAUCCUAUGGACUUUCCUCCUCCUGAGCACUUACUGCCUCACCCCUCGCACCCUUCAAGUUGUGUCUCUCUCACCUUAUCCAGUAGGUCACAUAUGGUCCCAUUUUGAAGGUUAAGUGACUUGGUGGAGGUCGCCAGCAAGGAAGUUGCCAAACAGAGACUGGGAACCAGAUCUAUCUAUCCAGAUGGUUUAGAGGAAAAUCCUCCCUUUGGCUGGGGACUCAGGAAUCCAGCCGACCAUGACUGUCCUGGGGAGGGGGUCCGGGAGGCCAGAUAGUUUCUGAUCAACAUCAUGACUUUUGAUUACGGAGAAGGUACUUUCCAGGGCACUUGAAGUUCCAGCCACUCCUCCAGGAGCAAUUAGCCACAUCCCAUGCUGACGUCCACAUAGGGGCCUGGAUGCAGGCCCCAGCUGGCUCUUAGGGCCAUGGCAGGCCUUGGUGCUGAAGGCCACACUCUCACCUUGUCCUCACGGUCCAGUUUUCCCAGGAAUCCCUUAGAUGCUAAGAUGGGGAUUCCUGGAAAUACUGUUCUUGAGGUCAUGGUUUAACAGCUGGACGCACCUCCCCCAUCCCAGAGCUGUCCCCGUGUGGCCUCAGCUCUAGCACGGGUGAGGGUCAAGCGGAAGACUGCGCACAGGAGGUAAGAGGGCUGCAGAUUGUGUUCUUGACCUUUAAGUUGCUUUUCUUUCCAUCUUGUCCAUUUCGUAAUGUCCCCGUGCGGCUGGAUGUGGGAACGUCACCAUUGUACUCUUGGGAUUUGUCCAGGCUCUCGGCUGAGCAGUGGUUUCACCAGGACACAGUACCCAUGAGUUUCUUCCUGUCUCCAUCCUGCCCUUACCCCAAGUUCCAGUCUGCUGUGUGGCAGGGGCCACAACAUCAUGUCCACGCUGUUAUUGAUAAACUAAGAAACCUCAGGAAUUUAUUUAAAAGUUUAUUAAAUCAGUUAGGUAAACUGAAAGCCAUGAAUCUUAGUCGGAUUUGGAAUGCAGCCACAGAAAAUGAAAUGUUUUUUUAAGGGGGAGAGGAUUUAAAAGUUCAGAGCGCCCUCUGGUGGCACCACCUGCUUUGACCCCCACCCCCUUUCAGGCACUUGAGCUGUCAUGCGCACAUAUGCACACACACACACACACACACACACACACACCCCGCUGAUUCCAUUUGAGUCUGUGCCCACUUCAGCCCUUUUCUCACCUGCUAGCGAUGGUGCCUCCAUAGUUGACAGUCUUUCACAGUCUGGUUUCAUCCUCAAAGCUUCCAAAAGGUCAGCCAGGUUGGUUUGAGGCUUGGGCAGGUGAAGUGACCAGCCCAAGGUCACUCGGGCAUCAAAAGGUAGAGCCAGAAUUGAUUCCAAGGUCAGGCUCCUAUGGCAGUUUCUUAGUCAAAGGCCAAAACUAAAAACAUAAAAACAAGACUCUUUCUGAAGAAUCCUAAGAUGUGAGAACUGGCUAUUGCUGAAGUUUGAAGUGGUCCAGGUACAAAACUGGAGCUUUUUGCAACACCUUCUCAGAGCUUUCAUGGAGAUGUAGACAGUCGGUGCCUGAACCCAAAAUCCCAGACACAAGGUCGUGCCCGCACAUGUUUCUGAUGGUCUUCCAAAGGCUACCUUGAAAAUAUUUAUGACGCUUGAAAUCAAAUAUGGAAACCAGAGCUGGCCUGACCAUGGAGAAAUUGGAUUUGCUAAUAGUGAUAGUAAUACAAUAAUAGCUCCCCAUCAGUGGCUGUUUUCGACUUGCCAGGCACUGUGCUAAACACUUUCAUAGACACUGCCUCAUUUAAUCCUCACAGCCGCCCAGUGAGGUAGGUUCUGUCAUUCACUGCAGUUACCAGAUGAGAGAGCCAAGGUUCAGAGAGGUUCAGAGACUUGCCUAAGGGCACACAGCUAAGAAGUUGUGAAGCUGGGACCAAAAUCAAGUCUGUGUUUAUGCUUUCAACCAUCACAUUGGGGAACCUGCCCUCGCCCCCUUCCUCCCUUUUGGCUUCGCCUAGCAGAGGGGACUUACUCCCUGUGGCUUCCCUGAGGAGCAGGUAUAACAAGCCUCAGUGAUUCCCCCUGUGCCCCUGUGUGCUGUGACUAUAAUAAAGUGCUGGAUCCUUCCUUGACUUGUGUCCUGUCUCUUCCUGGGAACGUGGGGAGAGUGGAGAGGAAGAGAAAGCAGGGAAAGAGCCUGAGCCUGAAUCCUUUCUUUUUAAAAAAAAAAAGAUGUAUUUAUUUAUGCAAGCACUGGGGUACAGGCCAGAGGUGCAGGAGGGUGAGAGGAUUCACCAGAGACAGAGCAGGGAGCAGAACAGGCAGACUGACGGAAGUACACUGCUGAGGGGAGCAGCAGGCAGGUCAGACAGGAAAGGUCUGCUGCACCAUGUGGGAAUCUCCCUGGCCAGCCGGGAAGCAACCCGGCGCUGCAGAGGCUGCGGACAGCUUCACGGCACUGCACUGCACCGCCGAGGAGGCCCCUGAGCCUGAAUCCUUUCACUAGGGCUGCCUGACAAAGUACCACAGAUGGAGCAACUAAAACAAUGUAUUUUCUCGUAGUCCUGGAGGCUGGAAGGCCAAGAUCAAGGUGUCAGCAGGGCUGGGUUCUUUUGAGGCCUCUAUCUGACUUGUGGAUGGCCAUCUUCUCCCUGUGCCUUCACUCCAUGUGAGCCUGUGUCCUAAUCUCCCUUUUUAUGAGGACACAGUCCCAUUGAUGGAAGGUCCACCCUAAUGACCUCAUUUUACCUUACUUACCUCUUGUAAAGACCUUCCCCCAAAUAUAGUCAAAAUCUGAGGUGGCCAAAGCUUAGGACUUCAGUGUGAAUUCAGGGAAACAAUUCAGCCCAUAACACAGCCCAACUGAGGUAAUCCUACUCCCCUUCCCCACCC